CUCACCUCCCCAUUAGCAGGGACCUCCACAGGAGGGCUGAAUUCAUUUGGCUGACAAAGAAAAACAACUUCCGGAACUGCCAGUUAGAUAAACCCCCUCAGCACAGCUAAAUGAAGUCUC
rfam:Myotis brandtii contig293192, whole genome shotgun sequence.